rnacentral:rRNA from 1 species
AAGCGGCAAGAGCUCAAAUUUGAAAUCCGGCCCCCCCCCUCCCCCGCGGGGCCCGAGUUGUAAUUUGGAGAAGAGGCUUCGGGCGCGCCCCCCGUCUAAGUUCCCUGGAACGGGACGUCGGAGAGGGUGAGAAUCCCGUAUGUGACGGGGCGGCGUCGCCCGUGUGAAGCUCUUUCGACGAGUCGAGUUGUUUGGGAAUGCAGCUCAAAACGGGUGGUAAAUUUCAUCUAAAGCUAAAUACGGGCCAGAGACCGAUAGCGCACAAGUAGAGUGAUCGAAAGAUGAAAAGCACUUUGGAAAGAGAGUUAAACAGUACGUGAAAUUGUUGAAAGGGAAGCGCUGGCGACCAGACGUGCACGUCGGCGAUCAUCCGGGACUCGCCCCCGGUGCACUCGGCGGCGCGCAGGCCCGCAUCGGUUUGGGGGGCGGGACAAAGGCCCCUGGAAUGUAGCUCCCCCGGGAGUGUUAUAGCCAGGGGCGGCAUGCCGCCCCCCCAGACCGAGGACCGCGCUCCGGCUAGGAUGCGGGCGUAAUGGUCGUCAGCGACCCGUCUUGAAACACGGACCAAGGAGUCUAACAUCUAUGCGAGUGUUUGGGUGGCAAACCCACACGCGGAAUGAAAGUGAACGGAGGUGAGAGCCCGCACGGGCGCAUCAUCGACCGGUCCUGAUGUCUUCGGAUGGAUCUGAGUAAGAGCAUAGCUGUUGGGACCCGAAAGAUGGUGAACUAUGCCUGAAUAGGGUGAAGCCAGAGGAAACUCUGGUGGAGGCUCGCAGCGGUUCUGACGUGCAAAUCGAUCGUCAAAUUUGGGUAUAGGGGCGAAAGACUAAUCGAACCAUCUAGUAGCUGGUUCCUGCCGAAGUUUCCCU